ACGCUCGACACCUACGGGAAGCAGCAGUGGGGAAUAUUGCACAAUGGGGGAAACCCUGAUGCAGCGACGCCGCGUGAGCGAAGAAGUAUUUCGGUAUGUAAAGCUCUAUCAGCAGGGAAGAAAAUGACGGUACCUGACUAAGAAGCCCCGGCUAACUACGUGCCAACAGCCGCGGUAAUCUGAGCGGGCUGGCAAGGC
rnacentral:rRNA from 1 species